rnacentral:lncRNA from 1 species
AUGCGCCUUGGGGCUACAGCAGGCCGAAGAGCAGCAGGUUCGGUUUUCCUGCCGCUGCGGCCUGAAACCCGACCCGCCGGCGUUCGAUCGCUUAGGACAAGCGUCGCCCUGCUCGUAAGCAGUGACCCAAGUGCNCGCCGGCGGGGCGCCUCCACCUCGCCUCUCGCCCCAGGGCUGCGCAGGUGCGCUGCGGUCCCUCCCACCCGCGGAAAGCCUUGUCGGGCAGCGGGAACUUUCCCAAACCGUCCCGGGCAACAAUCCGCGACCGCUUCCCACUUNCCCAGCCGCGAUCGACCCGAGGGAGCUCGAGGACGCCACAGGGGUGGGCGCAUUUUGCACAUGCUCAGAGGGGCGCCCUGGACAUGCCUGGCCGACAGAGGCCUUGCUUGCACCCGAGAAGGCCAGACACUGGAUGAGCCAUGGGUCUAAUCCAGCGAAACCUUCCACCUCGUAAAAAAGGCUUUCUUGACCAUAAUAGCUUCCUUGACUUCUCUGGCUGUCUAUGGGUGGCCCUGGAUGUCCUUUUAGGAAUCCUGUACAUUGUGACUGAGCCUUAUUAUUUGUAGUUUUAAACAGCAGGUAAGAUUUCUGAAGAGAGUUUGCCUUUGAGUUUCCUUUUCACCACUCUUCUCAGUUUGGGGAGGUUCCCUCUUUGAAAUCAAUAGUAACUAGGUUAGACUUGCUUUGCAAGUUUUCGCUCCUACAGGUGUUGAAUUUCAUUGCAUUGUGGGCAACGUUCCCAGUUGGUUCUCUUACAUUUACNCCAGGUCCAGAGUGCCGGUUAACAGUAAAUCCAGCGGUGCCUCAUCCCUGCAGGUUGCACAGCCAGNGGCUCCAGCACACAGUCAUUUAUGGUAUCCAAGAGUUUGACCCAUCUGUCUUGGUUUGAGUGAACAUUUANCCAGUCAAUGUGUGGGCAAUUGAAGCCUCCCCUACCACAAGACUGCCUCUUUGGGUGGCUUCUCUAAUGUCUUUCUCUACCUCCAGGUCUGUUUAAGUGCUUUGGUCAGAAUCAUGGUCGUAGAGUCCCAGCACUAACCUGCUUUUGUGACUCAACAUUUUUACCCGCACAGUGAUUUUGUGGAACGGGCUGUCUUUGGUCUCAGUCUACUGCAAAAUCACUUUGAAGCUUCAACAGGUUGGCAGAACUGGCUGGUUGGGGAUGGACUUGACAGCCUCUUACAGGGCUGCUCUGUUGUGGCCCCCAGAUGUUCCCAAUCUAGCUCCUACUGUUCAGCUUCUGGUGCUUGAGGCUGGCAUGGAAUGUAGGAGUAUGGGAACAUCGGGAGGCAGUAGUUGUGCUCCCCUGGCCUACAGGCUCCUGCCAGCCCUGAGGUGAGGGGCCAAGACCUGGAAGUCCUGCCAGCCACAGGCCAGUCCCCGAUAAACUGAGGGCUGCAGGCUGCAGGGCAGUGGGUGAGGGACAGACCCCC